AUGCUCCAUAAUUGUUUGCUGAAGGAACGAGUGAUAACCAGAGAAGCCAGCUCCUGCUUCCUGAUUAAGGCAUGCAGUCAGGCCAGUGGGGAAAUGGGCCUCAUGGUGGAGCUUGCCUCUGCUGGAAGACUGACGGAGCCAGGGCUCUGCCUGCCACAAUUCAUGAGCUGGCCAGAGGUCUUUGGAUUCCUCCCAGUCAUUGCUGAGAUGAGUGAGGAUUGUUUCAGAAAAUCAGGCCUCCUCCUGGGGAAUGUGCCUCAGCUUCUGGCUGCAUCAGUGAUUUGGACACCCCUUAAGGACAAAGAGCGUGGUUGGGAGAAGAGCGCUUUCCACCCCUCUCCUUCAGGACCAUCCUGGAUGCAGCUGCAACUCUGCUCUUGGCUGUCCUAUGGCUGGCAAUAG
rnacentral:lncRNA from 1 species